UACGAAGGGUGCAAGCGUUAGUCGGAAUUACUGGGCGUAAAGCGUGCGUAGGCGGUUUUCUAAGUCUGCCGUGAAAGCCCCGGGCUCAACCUGGGAUGCCGGUGGAUACUGUCGGACUAGAGUACGGAAGAGGCGAGUGGAAUUCCCGGUGUAGCGGUGAAAUGCGCAGAUAUCGGGAGGAACACCAAUUGCGAAGGCAGCUCGCUGGGACGUCACUGACGCUGAGACGCGAAAGCGUGGGGAGCAAACAGG
rnacentral:rRNA from 1 species